CAGAAAGCUUGCAGCCAGCUUCUCAGAAGAAGAAAGGUGAAACACAGAUCUUGACCUAAUGGCUCAUUCCUUGGCAGCAGGGAAACACAGCACAGGUACUAGGACAAUGCAGGGGCACCGUGCGCAGCAGGAAUCAUUUAAGAACCACCAGGUCUAGUGAUGCCUUACCUAGCUGGUGGUACCUCAAAGGGCAACUGCUGACACUGGUGCUGUGAGCCUGCCACCUCUCAGGUGAGAUUCCUAAGGACAUCAGCUCCCAGACAAUGAUGCUGGGAAGAGGAGCACCUCCAGCUCUGGGCAGCCACGGUCCCAAUAACUGUCUGUACAGACACCAAAGCCGAAACAAGCUCUGCGUAGCUUCUCUGGCUGCUCCCUGUGUAUCUGCUGCAGCUUGUGCUGACUAGGAAAUGGAAAACACAUGGGAGUAGCCCGCCCCCUUGGCUCCAUCACAGCUAUAUCAGUUUUCCUGCAAGACUUGGAGUUAAAUCAGCACAAGCAAUUUUAGCAAACUUUAAUAUAAACCAUGCGAGGGUAUUCUUGUCACUCCCUGCCUGUGAAGAGAGGGAAUGACUGCAAAGGUCAACCACUUGAGCCUACCCUCAAGAUGAACUUAAUGUUUGUGGAGGGAAGGCAGCAGCUAUGUAAUACGGGAACAGGCAGAAAACAGAAUCAUAGCUUUGAACAAUGGGGAAAACGUUGGCUGGCUGAACUGGUUAUAUUAUUGCAUAGAGGUGUAUGCACCUUUACAGAAAAUUAUUGCACUCUCCUGCAGUGUUUGAUCAGAAUAUGUGGAAAUCUUGUAGAUGAGGUAGGAAUCCCUUAUAGUGCUGAUUUCUUGUAACACUGGAAAUGGGAUGAAGCAUGAAUCUGAUAAAUACCAUGGGAAAGGAUCAAAGCUCAGCCAUUUGUAAUAACUAUUAUUUUUGGCCUAUUGAGUAUCUCUAAACUUUGCACACACUUAACUGCUUUACCUGCAGUGGCAGAGUGUGACUGAGCCAGGGUCUGAGGAGUGAGUUAUGCAGUGGCAAACCCUCCUUGACAUGAGCCUGACCGGAAAUACAAAUAAAAUUCUCAAUGGGUCUAAAUUACA
rnacentral:lncRNA from 1 species